rnacentral:rRNA from 1 species
GUAGCUCGGGUAAUCCGGAGGACGGUGGGAUGUGUUUUGGGCACUGAAUUAUGCCCCAACAACAUUUGGCAAUACUUUCCUUGGUGCUACGUUUUCCUUCCUGAUGGGGCAAAAUUCUACACAUUUGGGCUGGCGACCAUGUGUUGGGCAAUCUGGAACAGCCGCAACCAAGCUACCUUUGAAAGAAAAAAAUUGAGAACUCCUUUUGAUAUUGUGUUCUCUGCUUGUGGAUAUAUCACUUACUGGGCAGGGUUGAUGAGUGAAGCUGAUCGAGAAGCGAUGGAACAUGGAGCCAAGAUGCUGAGGACCAAUGCCUCGACAAUGAUGAGGAUUUGCACGGCGCCAGGUGGGGUAAUGGAAGACUGA